rnacentral:lncRNA from 1 species
GGCUGUUUUAGGUGCAGUUUGAGGGUGUGGUUAGGUAGAGUUUUAGGGCUGUGGAUGAAAGUUUUGGAUCUAUGGUAGAUGGUAGCAAAGGUUUGAUAGAAAUCCGUGGAAGUUGCAGCAAGUAUGUGCUGUCUUGUAAGAGUAGAAUUGUCGUCGAAGAAACAACGGUUUCUCGACGUAAUUUCCACCAAAAACUUGAGAGAAUUGACGAGGGAAUUGAUAGCAAAAUCACAGUUUAUAUGACAGCAAGGAUAUCUAAUUUAAUCAAGAAAAUAUCGGCAGUAUAAUAGUAAGGAAAUUGGUGUAAGUUGCAAUUGCAGAAUUGUCGUCGAAAAAUUUCAGUGGGUUACGAUGAAAAUUUGCAGCAACAUAAAAUCAUUUUUAGAGAUGAAUUUCUUAAUAGAUGAAUCUUAGAUGGAAUCCAAGAUGAUCUAUGAAGUGUAUAAGAAAUUUCAUUCAAAAAAGAUUGCAAAUAGAUGGGUUAAGGCAACGAUAUGCAGCUGAAAUUUUCUGCAGCAUAGAUUUUCAAGUGCAGCAGAUUGGACAUAAAAGAUCAGUAGUUUAUAUUGAGAAUUUUUCGAUGAAACCAAAGGAAAUCUACUGUUAGGAAGUGUCAAAGAUGUCAUAAAAAUUUCAUAGAAAUUUGGAUA